UGUUCUGUCGAUCAAAAGUGC
rnacentral:piRNA from 1 species